rnacentral:rRNA from 1 species
AGUGAACGCUGGCGGUAGGCCUAACACAUGCAAGUCGAACGGCAGCACAGUAAGAGCUUGCUCUUACGGGUGGCGAGUGGCGGACGGGUGAGGAAUACAUCGGAAUCUACUUUUUCGUGGGGGAUAACGUAGGGAAACUUACGCUAAUACCGCAUACGACCUACGGUUGAAAGCAGGGGAUCUUCGGACCUUGCGCGAUUGAAUGAGCCGAUGUCGGAUUAGCUAGUUGGCGGGGUAAAGGCCCACCAAGGCGACGAUCCGUAGCUGGUCUGAGAGGAUGAUCAGCCACACUGGAACUGAGACACGGUCCAGACUCCUACGGGAGGCAGCAGUGGGGAAUAUUGGACAAUGGGCGCAAGCCUGAUCCAGCCAUACCGCGUGGGUGAAGAAGGCCUUCGGGUUGUAAAGCCCUUUUGUUGGGAAAGAAAAGCAGCAGGUUAAUACCCCGCUGUUCUGACGGUACCCAAAGAAUAAGCACCGGCUAACUUCGU